CGAAGUGGCUGGGGAGAGGGAAGUCUGGGCUUCCCUGUUUAGGCUGCUGCCACCGCGACCCCACCUCGGAAAAGCGGAAGAUGAUGGAUGGAUGGAUGGAUGGUAUAACAGCGGUAUAUGAAAACGAUGUUACUAAUGCUGUUACUUUUACCGGUAACGAGUAAGCUAAUAACUUUUAUGUACGCUACAACGCUGUUACGAUGCGUUUGAUGUAAUGUGGCAUGCUACUUUUGAUGUGAUUGUAUGUCAACAAGACAGCGUUAGAAGCACAAAAGGGUUAGUGCAGGUAAUAUCUUUUUACUAAUGAAAGCAACCCCCGGAAGUAAUUACGAACACGAUAUCAAAUAGAAAGAGGCCUCAUCCACACACAAACAAAAACAUUCAACAGAACUAUCUUAACUGCCACUGCUAAGCUAAAAAAUACAGCUGAACUAUUCUGCUAUGUCUGGGCGCUGAAGUCCCACGUUACUUGGCAAAAGGCACAGCUUUUUAAAGGCACACACACACUCUGCUCUCAUGAAAUGUCUCUCAACUGCAUAUGCUAGAUAUUUAAAACUUUUCUUUUUCAAGUAACACAUUAAUUACAAACCCCGUUUCCAUAUGAGUUGGGAAAUUGUGUUAGAUGUAAAUCCAAACGGAAUAAUUUUUUUUACAAAUAAUAAUUAACUUAGAAUUUCAUGGCUGCAAUACGUGCCAAAGUAGUUGGGAAAGGGCAUGUUCACCACUGUGUUACAUCACCUUUUCUUUCAACAACACUCAAUAACCGUUUGGGAACUGAGGAAACUAAUUGUUGAAGCUUGGAAGGUGGAAUUCUUUCCCAUUCUUGUUUUAUGUAGAGCUUCAGUCUCCUCUGUCGUAUUUUACGCUUCAUAAUGCACCACACAUUUUUGAUAGGACUGCAGGCCGGCCAGGAAAGUACCUGCACUCUUUUUUUAUGAAGCUGAACACGUGCUGAAUGUGGCUUGGCAUUGUCUUGCUGAAAUAAGCAGGGGCGUACAUGAAAAAGUCGGCGCUUAAAUGGCAGCAAAUGUUGUUCCAAACAGAUGGGUAACUUACAGAUGUGUAAGUUACCCAUGCCUUGGGCACUAAUGCACCCCCAUACCAUCACAGAUGCUGGCUUUUGAACUUUGCGUCGAUAACAUUCUGGAUGGUUCGCUUCCCCUUUGGUCCGGAUGAAACGGUGUCCAAUAUUUCCAAAAAUAAUUUGAAAUGUGGGCUCGUCAGACCACAGAACACCUUUCGACUUUGCAUCAGCCCAUCUUAGAUGAUCUUGGGCCCAGAGAAGCCGGCGGCGUUUCUGGAUGUUGAUAAUUGGCUUUCGCUUUGCAUAAUAGAGCUUUAACUUGCACUUACAGAUAUAGCAACACACUGUAUUUAGUGACAGUGGUUUUCUGAAGUGUUCCUGAACUCAUGUGGUGAUAUCCUUUAGAGAUUGAUGUCGGUUUUUGAUACAGUGCCGUCUGAGGGAUCGAAGGUCACAGUUAUUCAAUGUUGGUUUCCAGACAUGCCGCUUACGUGGAGUGAUUUCUCCGGAUUCUCUGAACCUUUUGAUGAUAUCAUGGAGCGUAGAUGUUGAAAUCCCUAAAUUUCUUGCAAUUGCACUUUGAGAAAGGUUGUUCUUAAACUGUUUGACUAUUUGCUCACGCAGUUGUGGACAAAGGGGUGUACCUCGCCCCAUCCUUUCCUGUGAAAGACUGAGCAUUUUUUGGGAAGCUGUUUUUAUAGCCAAUCAUGGCACCCACCUGUUCCAAAUUAGCCUUCACACCUGUGGGAUGUCCCAAAUAAGUGUUUGAUGAGCAUUUCUUAACUUUAUCAGUAUUUAUUGCCACCUUUCCCAACUUGUUUGUUGCAUGUUGCUGGCAUCAAUUUCUAAAGUUAAUGAUUAUUUGCACCAAAAAAAUGUUUAUCAGUUUGAACAUCAAAUAUCAAUCAAUCAAUCAAUGUUUACUUAUAUAGCCCUAAAUCACUAGUGUCUCAAAGGGCUGCACAAACCACUACGACAUCCUCGGUAGGCCCACAUAAGGGCAAGGAAAACUCACACCCAGUGGGACGUCGGUGACAAUGAUGACUAUGAGAACCUUAGAGAGGAGGAAAGCAAUGGAUGUCGAGCGGGUCUAACAUGAUACUGUGAAAGUUCAAUCCACAAUGGAUCCAACACAGUCGCAAGAGUCCAGUCCAAAGCGGAUCCAACACAGCAGCGAGAGUCCCGUUCACAGCGGAGCCAGCAGGAAACCAUCCCAAGCGGAGGCGGAUCAGCAUCGCAGAGAUGUCCCCAGCCGAUACACAGGCAAACAUAUGUUGUCUUUGUAGCAUAUUCAACUGAAUAUGGGUUGAAAAUGAUUUGCAAAUCAUUGUAUUCUGUUUAUAUUUACAUCUAACACAAUUUCCCAACUCAUAUGGAAACGGGGUUUGUACUUAAUUUAAUAAUUAUUUACAUUUAUGAAAGAGUAAUUCUGUUUGUAAUAUAAUUUUUAGUCAAGUAACGACUAUUAUUAUUGCUUUUUAAAACAGAUAUUCCAAACAUUGUUAAUUGAUAAACUGUUUUAUCAGGAUAUGGUGUAUUUGCUCUUGCAUCAAUUGAAAAAGGUUCUUUUGUGGUCGAGUACCGAGGGAAGUUCAUCUCAAGACAUGAGCGGGACAAGAGACAGAAACCCUCUAUAAAUAUCUUUACUAUUUAUCUGGCAUUAUAUGCUCAUAAUGUUAACAACAAAAAGUGCUGAUAAUGUUAUAAUUAAUAAGUUCUAACAUUAUUUUUAUGUGUUUUGUUGCAGACACCAACUGUUGAUGUUCUAUCUCAACAUUCUCCAGACUCAUGUGACCGAUAAACCGACUUCAUCCCUCCAACAGACACCAACUGUUGGGGUUCUAUCUCAACAUUCUCCAGAUUCAGAUGUGAGCGAUAAACCGACUUCAUCCCUCCAACAGACACCAACUGUUGGGGUUCUAUCUCAACAUUCUCCAGAUUCAGAUGUGAGCGAUAAACCGACUUCAUCCCUCCAACAGGUUAUUACAAGUCUAUUUUUACUAUAUCUGCUCUAAAUGUGACCCAACCUAUAUUUUGAAAGACAUUUAUUAAUUUUAAUCUCUCACAGAUCGUUUAUAUGACAACAUUUUCGUAAGAGUACAUCCAUGUUAGUCAGUAAGGAGUUUGGAACUCAUGUUUAGCAAAACAGGAGAUGUUACAAGUCAACAACAUACAUUCUACAUGUGACCCCUCGUCAUGUCCUUAUAUUGUUUGAACCAAGAAAGACUUAGGUGUGUUUCAUAUAAGGUCCUCAUAUUUUCUAAACCAGAUUAGUGUGUGUUACAAUGUUAAUGUCCAAGCUUUAAAAUGUGUGUCUCAAUUCAGGUCCUCAUAUUUUCUGAACCAGAUUUUAGUGUGUUUUAUAUUCUUAAUUAAUUGUCUAAGAGCUGAAACUCUGUAAUAAUCUUUACUAUUUAUCUGGCAUUGUAUGCUCAGAGUUUUAUCCACAAAAAGUGCUGAUAAUGUUAUAAUUAAUUAGUUCUGACAUUAUAUUUUUGUGUUUUGUUGCAGAAACCAACUGUUGAGGUUCCAUCUCAACAUUCUCCAGAUUCAGAUGUGAGCCAUUAACUGACUUCAUCCCUCCAACAGAAACCAACUGUUGAGGUUCUAUCUCAACAUUCUCUAGAUUCAGAUGACAGCCAUAAACCGACUUCAUCCCUCCAACAGAUUGACAGCAGGACAAAUCGCUGGAAGUAGGUAUGUCUCAAGCUUCUUCCACUUGGUCCACUCCAAAGCGGGCUGCAAAGGGGAAGAAGUGGAAGCAGUUGAAUGACACAUGUUGCAUUUUGUAACUGGCAACAAAGUACCAGGUAAAAAAGAUUGUGAAGCCUGCCUCCAUAAAGAACUAGUAGCUCUACAGGACAGAGAUUGGCUUGCCAUCAAGUACUACAUCCAUAACAGAAUUAUAUUAAAAAAAGGGGAAAAAAAUGUUUUCCCACAUCUUCUGUGGUAGUUUGAGUAUGUUACCAGCAAUUAAAAAAGCAAAAUAAA